GUUUCAGCAGUCUCGGUCCAUGGCUGGCAGGUUCAAAUGCAGGAAUGGCACAGGGGAAGGGCCUUGACGCAGGGAAGCUGGGAGCCUCGCCGCAACCAGGAAGCAGAGUGAAGGGAGGACCUGGGGAGGCAGACACAUCCUGGCCACUGCUCUAGUGACCGCCUCUUCCAGCCAAGCUCCACCUCCUCACAGCAAGUCAGCGGCACAGCGACCCAGACAGGAGAGCUUUCCAGGCCACGGCGAAGGCUGACACAGUCCAGAGCUCCCCUUCCUAUUUCUCCCAGGAGCCUCACACACUCCCGGGGCACACUAAGCUCACAGAUCUCCAACAGGGCCUUCCUGACUGGUCCCCAACACACACACACACUUCAACCACAAAAAGGGGAAAGCUGGACAAAGCCAGGAAAGCCCCUCUCCAACAGAGCGGCUGAGGAAUUUGUUUCUUGAAGCAUCUCCCCAUGAUCACUCGCUGUAAAGGAAGAGAAAUCUGAAAAUCAUGGCUUUUCCCUGAUGAAUUCAGCAACAGCUCAUUGUCGGGGGGGGGGUGCGCAAAAGUCAGUGAGUUGGCUGGAAACCAUGACUGCUCAGUAACAGCCGGCCCACGCCCGACCCACACACUGGGGAAGCCCUGUGCUUACCAGCAGCAUACAAAGGACUGGCUUCCUCGAAAAAAGGAAAAGGAAAAAGUAGCCAGCAUAUUUUCAGGGAAUGGAGAAGGAAGAGGUAAAGCAGAGACCAGAGCUAUCUGGACUGCAGACUGGCUGGCUUUCCCGGGCGCACAGAGCUAUCAGGAAAGGAAGUGAAGAAGUGACCCUGCAGCUGCUGAAGUGGGGAGGGCACUGGCCACGAGGGCUGGCUCUGUCUGUGCUCCUCAAAGUCGGAAAUGAGAAAUCAGGAGGUUUGCUAUGGAAGCAGGUUUCUCUCGGUGUUCAUUUCUGUUUGCUUUUUGGGGUGCUGGGGGUGCGCCCCAGGCCCCAGCAUCUGCCCAAGCCACAUGCCACGCAGGCUCCUCCUUCCAGGUCUGGG
rnacentral:lncRNA from 1 species